rnacentral:tRNA from 1 species
AUUACUUUGGCAGAUUAGUGCCAUGAAUUUAGAAUUCAUAUAUGUAUAUUUUACAAGUAAUA